AUGAACAGUGAAUCCCAAGAACUGUGUCUUUCCUUUUUCACAGAGGGGAGAGUAAGUGUGGAAAGGAUGCAGGAGAGAGUGGGUACAAUCCAGCAGCUAAAGGAAGCCCUGAGAGAGGAGGAGAAACAGGAGAACAGUGAGAAAUCUGACCACCCGGAACAGGACUGGUACCAGGCGGAGUACAACAGAGCACAGGAGCGGAGGAGGAAGAUCAAAGAGGAUCAUGGGAGAGUGAUACAGGAGGAGGUGGAGAAGAUGGAAAGAGAGCUGGGGCAGGAACAGACUGAGGGCCCCCAGAGGGAGCUGUUGGUCCUGGGCAGAGAGAGACAGGUCCUGAUUCUACAGAUGGAGGCCCUGCACACUGAGGCCUUGGAGGCUGAGAGAGACCUGGAGACACAGUACCACAGACACCAGCAUGAGCUUCACUCUCUUAGGGAGGAGAGUCUGCAGGUAAGGCCCUUACCUGCACUGCCAUUGUUUGAACCAACCCUGCCUAUCUUACCCAUUUGUGCCAGUGUCACACCUUUCACCACCAUACUAAGCUCUGACUCCCCAAUCCCUUAUCAGGUGUUCCGGGUUUUCCGCCAGGUGAGUGAGGAGCAGAGGAGGGUGUCAGAGGGCAGGUACAGGACUCUCCUGCUAGAGGCCAUACAGGAUGCAGUCUACCUGUCCUCUCAGAACCAACAGCUACAGGCAGACAACAAACAGCUCCGCAAAGGUGAGUUACACACCUGGAUAAAGCUUGUAUAA
rnacentral:lncRNA from 13 species